ACCUGUUCAAAUGGGAAUUUCUGCAAUUCCACCAGCAAGGAUCGAUUCUCCUUCCCAAGAACAACGGUUGGCUGGUCUGCUUAUUCAGAAGAGUUAUGUGAUGAGAAGACAACCAGUGCCGGUUUACCAAAAGCCUCAGCAAGAUGUUUGAAUGACACCGGCUCUCCAAUGUUUGGUCCUCUUCACAUUCUGCAGUGUGAAAUAACCCUCAGUGACAUUCAAGGAAAUAUCUCCAGCAUUUCAGGUGAUUUUCUACAGUUAGCCUUCAGUACUCAGAUCCUGACCUCCCAACCAGAGCGGCUGUCAGCUGACAACAUCACCAUAGCAGCUCAGAUCGCUAACACACUGCUUCAGUCUGCAAAUAUCACAGAGGACAUCGCAGUGGCAGCUAUAACUACCAUCAGUCAGCUGCUGAAUGCCAGUGAGGAGAGUACACAGGAGAGAGAUGCUGUCCCGAGUUUUACGUAGUAAAAACACUUGGUUUUGUGCUCUACCAAAACGACGGGUUCUUCAGGUCCAGGGCUUUCAGAGCUUCUUCAGGGACCAGCAGAAGGGUCAUCUCUGCUAACCUGGGACAAGUGUCUGGGUUACAUGUUGAGAUGCUCUUCAAGCCCACAGACCUGAGCCCUAGGACCAUGCCCCAGGACUACCUGACAUGAUGACUCCUUGCUGUCCC